rnacentral:rRNA from 13 species
AGGCAAGUCGGCAAAUUGGAUGCGUAACGUCGGAACAAGGAUUGGCUCUGAGGAGCGGGACGUGUCCGGCUUGGUCGGGAAUCGGGUUUGACUGACGUGCCGGACCUGGGCGAGCUAAUCGGUACGCGGCGAAUCUCUCUCGGGGGAUCCUCGCACACCUCGGAUCCGAGCUCGGUCCCGUGCUUUGGUCUCGCGCAAAUCUUCUUUGCUGCGAGACUUCCGCGGCGGUUCCACCAUCGCGGUCGUUCUCUUUGGCCGCUGUUCAACGCUCAGCUCAGAACUGGCACGGACUAGAAAAAUCCGACUGUCUAAUUAAAACAAAGCAUUACGAUGACCCCCAAGAGUAUUGACGCAAUGCGAUUUUUGCCCAGUGCUCUGAAUGUCAACGUGAAGAAAUUCAAAAAGGCGCGGGUAAACGGCGGGAGUGACUAUGCCGCUCUUAAGGAGUUGCAACACAACUAAAUAAUUGCAAAAUGAGUAAUAAGAGUAUAGCCU